CAUUCAAGUUGAGGUUAGUAAUUUAAGUUGAAAAUUUUAGUUUAUUAUUUUAGUUUAGCUCAAUUAACCUAGAACUCAACUUAAAAAUCAAAAGAAAACACGGAUUGAUUGGGAUUUUGGCCAGCCAAAGGUGGAGUUAGAAUUGAAUGAAUUUGAUGCAUUUGAAUGGUUAUUUAACUUGAAUUAUGUAUGUAGACUAUGG
rnacentral:misc_RNA from 1 species